rnacentral:rRNA from 1 species
AUUGCACGCUGGCGGCAGGCCUAACACAUGCAAGUCGAGCGGAGCGGCGGACGGGUGCGUAAUGCCUAGGAAUCUGCAUGGUACUGGGGGAUAACGUUCGGAACUGGGAGCUAAUACCGCAUACUAUCAGAACAGCCUAGGUCGGAUUAGCUAGUUGGUGGGGUAAAGGCAUACCAUGGCGACGAUCCGUAACUGGUCUGAGAGGAUGAUCAGUCACACUGGAACUGAGACACGGUCCAGCUUCCUACGGGAGGCAGCAGUGGGGAAUAUUGGACAAUGGGCGAAAGCCUGAUCCAGCCAUGCCGCGUGUGUGAAGAAGGUCUUCGGAUUGUAAAGCACUUUAGGUUGGGAGGCGUUACCUACAGAAUAAGCACCGGCUAACUUCGUGCCAGCAGCCGCGGUAAUUC